CAAAAUAUCAAGCUAAAAAAACAAAUUUAUCUCUGCAAGUUCAUCGGUGUUUUAAAAAAAAAUAUUUCUGUAAAACCAAAGGACGAUUGAACUUUCGACUGACGAAUCACCUUCUCCGAUCUCUAAUCAGACUAAUAUACAGAACGACGUGGCUUUAAUAUGAAAGAUAAGUUAUUUCCUGAUACUUAAUCUUGUUUUUCAUUAAAUAUAUUUUAAUUUCAUAUCAAAUAUGGCAUAGUUCAAAUUUAUUAAUACGCGUUUUAAUUUUUAAUUGGACAGAUAUGUGUAUUCACCUUGUUUGAUGAAAAUAGCCGAACACAUGACUAAAUCCUCCUCCAAUGUAAUUUGGAAGUUCCUGAUGUUACGUCAUACUCCAACAGGAAGAAGUCUUCCUUUACUCUCCCAGGUAUAGGGUUUGACAAAAAAAAAGAAGACGAUUUGAUGGGGUUUCAUAGUAUAAGACUUGAUCAUGAAGAUAUUCAAUGGACUGAACAAUCAUUUCUGUUUGGAUUUUUUUAGAAAAUGGGCUUACUCGGGAGUGUGCUUAAAUAGACCGUUCAGUUUAAAAAAAAAGAGAAAAAGGGAAAGUUAAAGACAAAAAAAUCUGUCGGUCUCAUCGAAGAAACAGACGACUUGCAUGUCCUGAAAUUGGGACUCGAGAAGAGAAUCGGUGCGAACGAUAAGAGAAUCGGUGGGAAUCGAAGUGACCUCAUUCGAUGUUGAUAGAUUUAGCGUUGGUGAAGAUUGAAGAAGACGAAUCGAAGAUGAAGAAGUCGAUUUGUUUCAGAUCCACAGAUGAAGAAGAUGAAUCAGUCCAAUGACUUUUCAGAUUCGAAGAUAGAAAAAACCAAAUCAAUCGGAGUAAUCUCAUGUUUUUUUCAUCGCGGCGGGUUGUUCAAAGUUGAACUGUAUCCUCCACCAAGUGGUGAAGGAGAGACUUGCAACGCUUUGAGCAAGGACUUGCGUCGAUCAUUGGAAUGGUCACUUGAAGAUGGCUGGACAUUGCCUUCUACGGAGAAAGAAGAAGCGGAAAGGAAGGUAGAUGCGUUCUCUUCUACAGUGGAGUCACUGAGAGAAGAGCUGCUUAACGAAAGAAACAUAAGUCGUGCAGCUAAGGAAUCAGUUGAGAGAGCUAUUGAAGAGCGCACAGUCGUAUCAAGGGUCGUGCAAUCAGUCGGCUGCAUCAUGAAAAUAUUGCGGUGCCAUUGGUUGAAGUUGCAGAAUCUCUGUCCAAACUUGGUCUCGAGUUCACAACCUUUGGCCUAUACGAUCUUCUUGUCAGAGUGUUACCGGAAAUCGAGACAAACAAAACAUCUUCAAAUAUAAAAGAUAAGUUAUUCUCAGAAAAUAUGUCUUUUUGGAUUAUAUGAGACAUGUUUUAUUAUUUCAUUGUAGUGAGUUGACUUAAUAGAUACAAUUUAUAUGAAUGUUUAUUGCAGUAUAUCUCUCUAUAGCUUUAUCUUUUCUGAGUUUACUUAAUAGCAUAGUGACAGUUAAUGUGCAGGUCUUGCUAUCAAAGGAAUAAAGGCAGAAGCUUCAUUCACAUAUAUCAAUAGGGAGAAAGACAUGACUGCAUCGCAAUAGGAAAUCAAGGUUGAUGAUCAUUUGAGAAGCAUCAAAGGAAUUAGAGAGUUGGAGUUCUCCUGUUCUCAAAACAAUUUAGUGGCAGAAUGGAGAAUGUCGCCUAAUUUCCCCCAAAUACAGCAUGGAAUUCUUAAAUCACUACAGCGCAAGACAAAAAGAGAGGUAUGAUUUGUUGUUCGGAAUGCUCCUCCUGCAGGCCUAACAUGGAAGUUUCUGAUCUUGCGCCAUACUCCAACUUCAAGAAGCCUUCCUUUACUCUCAAAACGAUUCUACAACCGACAAUUCUACCUGCCGUAUGAGGAUUCACGUCUGACUGCAUAACCUGGGCCGCUCUGUGGGAUCCACGUUUGACGGUACUCCUUGCGCCAUGCUGCAGAUCUCUUAUAAGCAUUUUCUCCCUUAAUUCGUAUAAUUCCACAUUUUCCGGAAAUUGAAACUCAGACCUCCUGGUGUAGAAACAUUAAUGAACAUUUGAUCAAACCACUUUACC